rnacentral:pre_miRNA from 1 species
UCUGACCCAGCUGUACUCUCUGGACAUAAAAAGCAGAAAGUGCGACUGGAUCGGAUCG